GACGAACGCUGGCGGCGUGCCUAAUACAUGCAAGUAGAACGCUGAAGAGAGGAGCUUGCUCUUCUUGGAUGAGUUGCGAACGGGUGAGUAACGCGUAGGUAACCUGCCUUGUAGCGGGGGAUAACUAUUGGAAACGAUAGCUAAUACCGCAUAACAAUGGAUGACACAUGUCAUUUAUUUGAAAGGGGCAAUUGCUCCACUACAAGAUGGACCUGCGUUGUAUUAGCUAGUAGGUGAGGUAACGGCUCACCUAGGCGACGAUACAUAGCCGACCUGAGAGGGUGAUCGGCCACACUGGGACUGAGACACGGCCCAGACUCCUACGGGAGGCAGCAGUAGGGAAUCUUCGGCAAUGGGGGCAACCCUGACCGAGCAACGCCGCGGGAGUGAAGAAGGUUGUCGGAUCGUAAAGCUCUGUUGUAAGUCAAGAACGAGUGUGAGAGUGGAAAGUUCACACUGUGACGGUAGCUUACCAGAAAGGGACGGCUAACUACGUG
rnacentral:rRNA from 1 species